GAACGGGUGAGUAACACGUAGAUAAUCUAUCCUAUACUGGGGGAUAGCCCGAUGAAAGUUGGAUUAAUACCGCAUAUAGCUAUAUAGUUGCAUGAUUAUGUAGUGAAAGAUUUAUUGGUAUAGGAGGAGUCUGCGGCACAUUAGCUAGUAGGUGAGGUAAAGGCUUACCUAGGCGACGAUGUGUAGCCGGUCUGAGAGGAUGAACGGCCACAAUGGAACUGAGACACGGUCCAUACUCCUACGGGAGGCAGCAGUGGGGAAUAUUGCACAAUGGGGGAAACCCUGAUGCAGCAACGCCGCGUGAGUGAAGAAGGUUUUCGGAUUGUAAAGCUCUGUUAGCAGGGAAGAGGAAGGACGGUACCUGCAGAGGAAGCCACGGCUAACUACGUGCCAGCAGCCGCGGUAAUACGUAGGUGGCAAGCGUUGUUCGGAAUAACUGGGCGUAAAGGAUGCGUAGGCGGUUAAACAAGUUAUAUGUUAAAUAUAUAGGCUUAACCUGUAGAAAGCAUAUAAAACUGUUUAACUAGAGUGCAGGAGAGGUAAGUGGAAUUCCUAGUGUAGCGGUGAAAUGCGUAGAGAUUAGGAAGAACACCAGUGGCGAAGGCGACUUACUGGACUGUAACUGACGCUGAGGCAUGAGAGCAUGGGGAGCAAACAGGAUUAGAUACCCUGGUAGUCCAUGCUGUA
rnacentral:rRNA from 1 species